GGAGACCUACGAGGGGCAGCAGUGGGGAAUAUUGCGCAAUGGGCGAAACCCUGAAGCAGCAACGCCGCGUGGUGGAUGAAGGUUUUCGGAUUGUAAACUCCUUUUGUUAGAGAAGAUAAUGACGGUAUCUAACGAAUAAGCACCGGCUAACUCCGUGCCAGCAGCCGCGGUAAUACGGAGGGUGCAAGCGUUACUCGGAAUCACUGGGCGUAAAGAGCGCGUAGGCGGGAUAGCAAGUCAGAUGUGAAAUCCUAUGGCUUAACCAUAGAACUGCAUUUGAAACUGUUAUUCUAGAGUAUGGGAGA
rnacentral:rRNA from 1 species